GUGGCUCAGUGGUAGAGUGCUUGUCUUGCAUGCAUUAGGUCCUGGGUUCGAUUCCCCAGC
rnacentral:tRNA from 1 species